GAAAUGCGAUAAGUAGUGUGAAUUGCAGAAUUCAGUGAAUCAUCGAAUCUUUGAACGCACAUUGCGCCCCUUGGUAUUCCAUGGGGCAUGCCUGUUCGAGCGUCAUCUACACCCUCAAGCUCUGCUUGGUGUUGGGCGUCUGUCCCGCCUACGUGCGCGGACUCGCCCCAAAUUCAUUGGCAGCGGUCCUUGCCUCCUCUCGCGCAGCACAUUGCGCUUCUCGAGGUGCGCUGCCCGCGUCCACGAAGCAACAUUACCGUCUUUGACCUCGGAUCAGGUAGGGAUACCCGCUGAACUUAAGC
rnacentral:misc_RNA from 1 species